CGGCGAGUGAAGCGGCAACAGCUCAAAUUUGAAAUCUGGCUCUUUCAGGGUCCGAGUUGUAAUUUGUAGAGGGUGCUUUGGCGUUGGCCGUGGUCUAAGUUCCUUGGAACAGGACGUCACAGAGGGUGAGAAUCCCGUACGUGGCCGCCGGUCUUCGCCGUGUAAAGCCCCUUCGACGAGUCGAGUUGUUUGGGAAUGCAGCUCUAAAUGGGAGAUAAAUUUCUUCUAAAGCUAAAUAUUGGCCAGAGACCGAUAGCGCACAAGUAGAGUGAUCGAAAGAUGAAAAGCACUUUGGAAAGAGAGUCAAAAAGCACGUGAAAUUGUUGAAAGGGAAGCGCUUGCAGCCAGACGUGCCCGCAGUUGCUCACCUGGGCUCUCGCCCGGGGCAUUCUUCUGCGGGCAGGCCAGCAUCAGUUCGGGCGGUUGGAUAAAGGCCUCUAUCACGUACCAUCCUUCGGGAUGUCCUUAUAGGGGAGGCGCAACACGACCAGCCUGAACUGAGGACCGCGCAUUUGCUAGGAUGCUGGCGUAAUGGCUGUAAGCGGCCCGUCUUGAAACACGGACCAAGGAGUCUAACAUCUAUGCGAGUGUUUGGGUGUAAAGCCCGGACGCGCAAUGAAAGUGAACGGAGGUGGGAACCCCUCGGGGUGCACCAUCGACCGAUCCUGAAGUCUUCGGAUGGAUUUGAGUAAGAGCAUAGCUGUUGGGACCCGAAAGAUGGUGAACUAUGCCUGAAUAGGGUGAAGCCAGGGGAAACCCUGGUGGAGGCUCGCAGCGGUUCUGACGUG
rnacentral:rRNA from 1 species